rnacentral:misc_RNA from 1 species
UAAAUGCGAUAAGUAAUGUGAAUUGCAGAAUUUAGUGAAUCAUCGAAUCUUUGAACGCACAUUGCGCCCCUUGGUAUUCCGAGGGGCAUGCCUGUUCGAGCGUCAUUACAACCCUCAAGCAAUGCUUGGUAUUGGGCCCCGCUGCUCACCUAGCGGGCCUUAAAAUCAGUGGCGGUGCCGUCGGGCCCUGAGCGCAGUAAAUAUCCUCGCUACAGGGACUCGGUGGACGCUGGCCAUCAACCCAGACUCCUCUAAGUUUGACCUCGGAUCAGGUAGGGAUACCCGCUGAACUUAA